rfam:Oryza nivara chromosome 2, whole genome shotgun sequence.
UUUAGAUGCGUAAGUAUUCGCAUCCAACUUUAAUCAUUUAUUUUAUUUAAAUUUUUCUAAAUUAAUAUUUUUAUUGUUAUGAGAUGAUAAAAUAUGAAUAAUAUUUUAUCCGUGACUUAUAUAUUUAGUUUUUCUAAAAAUAUUUAGUUUUUUAAAAGAAUUUUAAAUAAAAUAAACGAUUAAAAUUGGGCGCGGAAAACCAUGACUAUACUUAAA